rnacentral:rRNA from 1 species
UACAGGGGGGGCAAGCGUUGUCCGGAAUUACUGGGCGUAAAGGGCGCGUAGGCGGUACUUCAAGUCAGGCGUGAAAGCCCCGGGCUCAACCUGGGAACCGCGCUUGAGACUGGAGAACUAGAGUUCGGGAGAGGAUGGUGGAAUUCCCAGUGUAGAGGUGAAAUUCGUAGAUAUUGGGAAGAACACCAGUGGCGAAGGCGACACACUGGCCCGUUAACUGACGCUGAGGCGCGAAAGCGUGGGGAGCAAACAGG